GUUGGGAUGAUAAAUAAGAAGCAUUCAACUACUCAGGUCAUGAGAGUUUUACUCUAAAAGCCGGGGCCAAAGGGACCCCGCAGGCAGUUCUUAGAGUCCCCCAAGUCGGGGAGGGCGUGGCCACUCCGAGCCCCGCCCCGCAGAGGCCGCCUUCCCCACCAGGCCCCUCCCCGUCCACACCGGCCCCGCCCCCUCCCGCAGGCCCCGCCCCCUUGCGUCCUGUUCCCUUACGACUGCCCCGCGCACUGAAGAUGGCCGCCGCCGCGGGAAGGCUGCUUCGGGCUUCGGUUGUCCGACAUGUGAGCGCCAUUCCUUGGGGCAUCUCUGCCCUUAGACCUGCUGCUUC
rnacentral:lncRNA from 1 species